GAAUCUUGCACAAUGGGCGAAAGCCUGAUGCAGCAACGCCGCGUGCGGGAAGAAGGCCUUAGGGUUGUAAACCGCUUUCAGCAGGAAAGAAAAUGACGGUACCUGCAGAAGAAGGUGCGGCCAACUACGUGCCAGCAGCCGCGGUGACACGUAGGCACCAAGCGUUGUCCGGAUUUAUUGGGCGUAAAGAGCUCGUAGGCGGUUCGGUAAGUCGGGUGUGAAAACUCUGGGCUCAACCCAGAGCGGCCACCCGAUACUGCCAUGACUAGAGUGCGGUAGGGGAGCGGGGAAUUCCUGGUGUAGCGGUGAAAUGCGCAGAUAUCAGGAGGAACACCAGUGGCGAAGGCGCCGCUCUGGGCCGUAACUGACACUGAGGAGCGAAAGCGUGGGUAGCAAACAGG
rnacentral:rRNA from 1 species